AUUGAACGCUGGCGGCAGGCCUAACACAUGCAAGUCGAGCGGAUGACGGGAGCUUGCUCCUUGAUUCAGCGGCGGACGGGUGAGUAAUGCCUAGGAAUCUGCCUGGUAGUGGGGGACAACGUUUCGAAAGGAACGCUAAUACCGCAUACGUCCUACGGGAGAAAGCAGGGGACCUUCGGGCCUUGCGCUAUCAGAUGAGCCUAGGUCGGAUUAGCUAGUUGGUGGGGUAAUGGCUCACCAAGGCGACGAUCCGUAACUGGUCUGAGAGGAUGAUCAGUAACACUGGAGCUGAGACACGGUCCAGACUCCUACGGGAGGCAGCAGUGGGGAAUAUUGGACAAUGGGCGAAAGCCUGAUCCAGCCAUGCCGCGUGUGUGAAGAAGGUCUUCGGAUUGUAAAGCACUUUAAGUUGGGAGGAAGGGCAGUAAGUUAAUACCUUGCUGUUUUGACGUUACCGACAGAAUAAGCACCGGCUAACUCUGUGCCAGCAGCCGCGGUAA
rnacentral:rRNA from 1 species